UUUAUUUAUCGUUAUUGAUUGUAUAUAUCCUAAUUGUAUAAUCAAAUCUGUAAACACAACAAUGCUUUCAACAUAUUUAUCCGACUAUUUAAUUGUCCGAGGUAUCUUGACGUUCGCGCGCGUUCCCAAGGUAAACAUGCCACACCCAUCAUGCCGCUUGUUACAUUUACUCAGUACCAAGAAGUGAAUUUGUUUAUUGAAAACUUAGAGCGGGAUACAACAUCACGAUAUAUCACACGAAGAAUAAGUAACAAAAGACACUUCAGUUUGCGACCAAGUGACUCAAAAGGAAGGCCAUUAUGAUUUAAGAAAACAUCCAUUAAAGGUAUGAAUUUUGUGAUGCAGGAUCAGUACAUGACAGUACCACUGUCAUGAUCGUGUGCAGGAUUGGACAAAACAAGAUGACAGACGGCAGAUCCAAAGAAAGAUCCAGUCAGGAGCGGACUUCAUUAAGCUUAAAAGUUGCAAGUGGAUGAAGUGUGUUCUAUUUUAUGUCUCCUACUAAAAUCAUGGUUUUGACAAACCCAAAAGAGCACGUAGAGCAAGGAACUAUCAGUAAGCCGGAAGAGCCAGCUCGAAAAUCUUUAAGUGUUUGAGAAUUUUACCGCGCACAUGAAUCUAAAGUUCUGCCACACGUUAGAAGGAGCCCUGUUCUCGAAGAUCAACAUGUUGGAACGUCUUCAUUUUGCAGAAGCAAAUACAUUUAUAUUGUAUAUACACAUGUAGACUAUGUUCGAUUCCCAACCACUUAACAUUUGUGAUAUCUGCAUGGAAUUAUUAAAACUGAGCAUGGUUUGACGUAUAAUGAUUUCUUCAGGUAUGAUGGUUUACAUUUCAUAAAGCUGUUCAAUGACAAUAAAGACAAUAAGAUGU